UACGGAGGGUGCAAACGUUGCUCGGAAUCAUUGGGCGUAAAGCGCACGUAGGCGGCCUGUUAAGUCGGGUGUGAAAGCCCUGGGCUCAACCCAGGAAGUGCACUCGAAACUGGCGGGCUUGAAUAUGGAAGAGGGUCGCGGAAUUCCCGGUGUAGAGGUGAAAUUCGUAGAUAUCGGGAGGAACACCAGUGGCGAAGGCGGCGACCUGGGCCAAUAUUGACGCUGAGGUGCGAAAAGCGUGGGGAGCAAACAGG
rnacentral:rRNA from 1 species